rnacentral:rRNA from 1 species
CUAAGUCACUUGUUAUUUGCUGAUGACAGCCUGCUAUUUUGUAAGGCAAGUAGUGCUGGUGCUGAAGAGGUGAACCUGGUAUUGAAUAGUUACUGUGAAGCUUCGGGCCAAUGGAUUAACCUUGCGAAAUCAUCUAUCUAUUUCAGUAAGUGUGUUCUUGAUAGCAUUCGGGAAGUGAUCAAAGAUUCUCUCAAUGUUCCAAAUGAAACACUCAAUGAGAAGUAUCUGGGCAUGCCAUCUGACAUAGGAAAUUCAAAGAAUGGGGCUUUCAAAUAUCUAAAGGACUGUUUGUGGAGCAAAGUGCAGGGUUGGCUAGAGAAUACUAUGUCAAUAGCGGGUAAAGAGGUGCUGGUUAAAGCAGUGGCACAAGCUGUACCGGUCUUCUCCAUGUCUUGCUUCAAGUUACCAAGGAACUUGUGUGAACAUCUUAAUAUGCUCAUAAGAAAAUUCUGGUGGGGUUCGAAGGAAGGCAAGAGAAAACCUCACUGGGUGUCUUGGAAGUCUAUGACAGAGCCAAAAGGU